rnacentral:rRNA from 1 species
GAUGAACGCUGGCGGCGUGCCUAAUACAUGCAAGUCGAGCGAACGGACGAGAAGCUUGCUUCUCUGAUGUUAGCGGCGGACGGGUGAGUAACACGUGGAUAACCUACCUAUAAGACUGGGAUAACUUCGUGAAACCGGAGCUAAUACCGGAUAAUAUUUUGAACCGCAUGGUUCAAAGGUAAAAGACGGUCUUGCUGUCACUUAUAGAUGGAUCCGCGCUGCAUUAGCUAGUUGGUAAGGUAACGGCUUACCAAGGCAUCGAUGCAUAGCCGACCUGAGAGGGUGAUCGGCCACACUGGAACUGAGACACGGUCCAGACUCCUACGGGAGGCAGCAGUAGGGAAUCUUCCGCAAUGGGCGAAAGCCUGACGGAGCAACGCCGCGUGAGUGAUGAAGGUCUUCGGAUCGUAAAACUCUGUUAUUAGGGAAGAACAUAUGUGUAAGUAACUGUGCACAUCUUGACGGUACCUAAUCAGAAAGCCACGGCUAACUACGUG